rnacentral:rRNA from 1 species
AGAGUUUGAUCAUGGCUCAGGAUGAACCUAGCGGCAGGCUUAAUACAUGCAAGUCGUGGGGCAGCGNNNNGUAGCAAUACAUGGGCGGCGACCGGCAAACGGGUGCGGAACACGUACACAACCUUCCUUUAAGUGGGGAAUAGCCUAAGGAAACUUGGAUUAAUACCCCGUAACAUUAUGAAGUGGCAUCACUUUAUAAUUAUAGCUCCGGCGCUUAAUGAUGGGUGUGCGGCUGAUUAGAUAGUUGGCGGGGUAACGGCCCACCAAGUCUGCGAUCAGUAACUGGUGUGAGAGCACGACCAGUCACACGGGCACUGAGACACGGGCCCGACUCCUACGGGAGGCAGCAGUAAGGAAUAUUGGUCAAUGGACGCAAGUCUGAACCAGCCAUGCCGCGUGGAGGAUGAAGGUCCUCUGGAUUGUAAACUUCUUCUAUCUGGGACGAAAAAGGGUCUUUCUAGAUCAACUGACGGUACCAGAUGAAUAAGCACCGGCUAACUCCGUGCCAGCAGCCGCGGUAAUACGGAGGGUGCAAGCGUUAUCCGGAUUCACUGGGUUUAGAGGGUGCGUAGGUGGGCAGGUAAGUCAGUGGUGAAAUCUCCGGGCUUAACCCGGAAACUGCCAUUGAUACUAUUUGUCUUGAAUAUCGUGGAGGUCAGCGGAAUAUGUCAUGUAGCGGUGAAAUGCUUAGAUAUGACAUAGAACACCAAUUGCGAAGGCGGCUGGCUACACGAAUAUUGACACUGAUGCACGAAAGCGUGGGGAUCAAACAGGAUUAGAUACCCUAGUAGUCC